AGCGCUCACCCGGGGGGUCCCGACAAGGGGCUGAGAUACUGCUGGCUUACGCAGCGCAGUGACCCGAUGAACCUGAUCCAGUUCACACUGGCGUAGGGAUGGUGCAUCGGCUGCGCG
rfam:Martelella sp. AD-3, complete genome.